rnacentral:rRNA from 1 species
AUGCUUGUCUCAAAGAUUAAGCCAUGCACGUCUGAGAAUAAAGAGUUUUCUCUGAAUCUGCGAAUGGCUCAUUAUAUCAGUUAUAGUUUAUUUGAUAGUCCCUUACUACUUGGAUAACCGUAGUAAUUCUAGAGCUAAUACAUGCAUCAAACCCCAACUGCUUGUCGGAAGGGGUGUAUUUAUUAGAUAGAAACCAAUGCGGGGCAACCCGGUAUUGUGGUGAAUCAUGAUAACUUUGCGGAUCGCAGACCUCGUGUCGGCGACGAAUCAUUCAAGUUUUUGCCCUAUCAGCUUUGGAUGGUAGGGUAUUGGCCUACCAUGGCUCCAACGGGUAACGGGGAAUA